UCCUCCAAGGCUAAAUACUCCUGACUGACCGAUAGUGAACCAGUACCGUGAGGGAAAGGCGAAAAGAACCCCGGCGAGGGGAGUGAAAAAGAACCUGAAACCGUGUACGUACAAGCAGUGGGAGCACAGGUUUACCUGUGUGACUGCGUACCUUUUGUAUAAUGGGUCAGCGACUUAUAUUCUGUAGCAAGGUUAACCGUAUAGGGGAGCCGUAGGGAAACCGAGUCUUAACCGGGCGUUAAGUUGCAGGGUAUAGACCCGAAACC
rnacentral:rRNA from 1 species